GGCAGGGGAGGAGCUUUUCAUUUGGCUAUGUGAACUCCAGUCAGCUGAGAGUCAGAGCUGGAGAAAUGCUGCUUUUUCAGGUUGCCCAUGAGACACAGAAAAGAGGGCUGAGUUUCUGUCAUCUGGCAAGAAGAUCCAAUAAACAUGCUGUUUUUUUCUCCAAAGAACACAUGAGAUAAGUGAUGAAGAAAGAAUGCAAGUGUUGAAGCAAUAGCAAUAGCAACCAUGACCAGAAAACCUGCUAUAACUUCAGAAUUGUAGAUAUAAGGUCAUGAACUUACUAUCUUCCCAUGGAUUGACAGCCUAUCCUUGUUCUGCCUGGCUCACUAGAGGCAUGCAUCUCUCCAAGGAGCCAACAUCUUGAUUGACAAGGGGAUGAG
rnacentral:lncRNA from 1 species